rnacentral:rRNA from 1 species
UACAGAAGGUGCGAGCGUUUAAUCGGAAUUACUGGGCGUAAAGGGUGCGUAGGUGGUUUUGUAAGUUAAGUGUGAAAUCCCCGGGCUAACCUGGGAACUGCGCUUAAUACUGCGAGACUUGAGUACUGUAGAGGAAGGUGGAAUUUCCAGUGUAGCGGUGAAAUGCGUAGAUAUUGGAAGGAACAUCAGUGGCGAAGGCGACUUCUGGACAGAUACUGACACUGAGGCACGAAAGCAUGGGGGAGCAA